UACGGGGGGGCAAGCGUUGUUCGGAAUUACUGGGCGUAAAGGGCUCGUAGGCGGCCAACUAAGUCCGACGUGAAAUCCCCAGGCUUAACCUGGGAACUGCGUCGGAUACUGGAUGGCUUGAAUCCGGGAGAGGGAUGCGGAAUUCCAGGUGUAGCGGUGAAAUGCGUAGAUAUCUGGAGGAAUACCGGUGGCGAAGGCGGCAUCCGUGGACCGACAUUGACGCUGAGGAGCGAAAGCUAGGGGAGCAAACGGG
rnacentral:rRNA from 1 species